UACGGGGGGGGCAAGCGUUGUUCGGAAUUACUGGGCGUAAAGGGCUCGUAGGCGGCCAACUAAGUCGGAUGUGAAAUCCCCAGGCUUAACCUGGGAAUUGCAUCCGAUACUGGAUGGCUUGAAUCCGGGAGAGGGAUGCGGAAUUCCAGGUGUAGCGGUGAAAUGCGUAGAUAUCUGGAGGAACACCGGUGGCGAAGGCGGCAUCCUGGGACCGGCAUUGACGCUGAGGAGCGAAAGCCAGGGGAGCGAAACGGG
rnacentral:rRNA from 1 species